CAGGAUCAAGUCAUGUUGACCUCACCCUGUCAGCCUUGGGUCAUUUUGGCUAACGAGGUCAAUCCAUGUUGACCUCAGACCAGGGCACGGUUGAUAACAUGCUGAGACGAAGAUUGACUAGGCGGAAACCCCAUUGGAACAAAGGGAACCUCCAUUGUGACAAAGAAAUUCUUGUAUGUGUGUAUGUGCAUAAAGAGGAGCUGGAGUCUAUGUUCGCCAGUGACUCUGCAAACCCACUCAGGCUGUUGUCGUUGUUGUUUUUCUUCACGAUAAAGUCUUUUUCAAUUCUU